AUGCCGGCGACGGAGGAGGAAGGCGCGGCGGCGGCGGCGGCGGCGGGGGCGUACGAGCAGGAGGACGGGGACGGGGAGGAGUACGACGAGGAUGAGGAGGAGGGGUACGAGUUCGGCGACGCGGCGGACGCGGCGCAGUGCGUGGAGAUGGCGGAGCGGGGGCCCGGCGGCGCCGUGGCCACCGUCAGCAUCCGCGACUUCGAGGCCCUGGCGGCGCUGUCGCGCAAGCGGAAGGCCCUCCCCGAGGAGCCGCCGCAGGGGGACGAGCCCUCCAAGAAGCGGAGGCAGCAGGGCGAGCUCUCCGAGGCGGAGUCGGCGAACCUCUUCGACCAGCUGAUGGAGGGGUUCGGCCUCCGGCGGAAGAAGCGGCGGCGGUCCAAGGACGGCAAGAGGAAGGGGCGGGCGAGAGGGCGGAGGAACCGGUGCAGCCCCGAGGUCAUCAAGAAGCUGGGCGACGCCACCCUGCUCUUCACCGAGAACAGGUUCAAGGAGGCCAUCCCCAUCCUGCACGAGAUCGUGCGGAUCGCGCCCAACCUGCCCAACUCGUACAACCUGCUCGGCAGCAUCUACAAGGAGAAUGGCGAGAUCGACAAGGCUAUCAACUUCGUGAUGCUGGCCGCCUACGUCUCGCCCAAGGACGUGUCGCUGUGGAAGAAGCUCAUCGACCUGGCCCUGAAGAAGGAGGAUGCUGCUCUGGCAAGGCACUGUGUUAUCAAGGCAAUGAGGGCUGAUCCGGAGGAUGUGGGGCUCAAGUUUGAUUGCGCCAACAUAUAUCGCACCCUUGGUGACUGCCACAAGGCCGCGGAGAUAUACGAGCAGAUAGUCGGGAUCCAUCCCUCCAACACCGUCGCUCGUAAAGCGGCGGCGCAGAUGUACAGAGACUCUGGUCAAAUUGAUAAGGCGAUUGAUUUGUUGGAGGAUUUUAUCAAUGCUCAAACUUCAAACAUCGAUUGGGGUCUUCUUGAUUUACUGAUAUCCCUUCAUCUGAGAAAUGAUGCCCAUGGUGAAGCCCUUAGGCAGAUCAAGAAGGCACAACUGGUGUUGGGAUCUGGACACAAAUUACCAGUACGAUUGCAGGCGAAGGCAGUAAUCUGCCAUGCUUAUCUUGGAGAUAUGAAACAUGCUGAGGUGUUCCUUCAGGAUGUGCAUCUGGGGCGUUCAAAAGAGAAUGCUGAUAUGGUUAAGGAGGUCGCCAGCACUCUUCAAAGUUUGGGGCAGUAUGAGUAUGCACUAAAAUUUUACUCGGUUAUGGAAGACGUUGCUGUUCACAAUGAUGUUAGUUCAUAUGUGGAAGCUGCUCGAUGCUACAUGGUAAUGGGGGACAAAGGAAAAGCUAUCCCUUACCUCUAUCAAGCUUUAGAAGGGAUGGAGGACAAUGUCGAUGUACGGAUAACCUUAUCUUCUCUUCUCGUUGACGAGGAUAAGAGUGAUAAAGCUAUCACUGUGCUUUCUCCUCCUGAAAAUCCAGAGUUGCAGUCCGCUGAUAUCCCGGAUCAUCAGAAACCUUGGUGGCUUCAUGGGGAAGUAAAGAUGCAGCUUGCCAAACUUUAUUACAACAAAGGCAUGAUGGAGAAAUUUGUGAAAACCAUUUUUCUUCCCAUUCUUGAGACACUGGAUAUCGAGUAUGCUAAUAGAAAGGUCAAGAUGAAUAGAAAGCUUACAAAUGAUGUUCUGCAGGAAAGAACGAAAGUGCUGGGGGAAGCGCGUCAAGACAGCGUAUUUCAAGGAUGCAGGCCUAUAGCAUCAACUGCAGAGUUAGUGAAGGCAAACAGAGCAAAGAAAUUGCUAGAGAGAAGGGCAGCAGAGUCAAAUGAAGAUACGAUAAGAGAUGAUACACGGAGAGCAAAGCAGAAACCUCCUCUUCCUGGUCUGCUGACAAAUGUGGAGAACCAUCAGCUUGUGUUAGAUCUCUGUCGAACACUGACUUUGCUUCAGCGAUACUUUGAGGCGCUGCAAAUUAUCAAUCAUGCUCUUAAACUUGGAAAUGACCCCCUCUCUGAUGACAUCAAGGAGGAACUCCGGUCCUUGGGCGCUGAAAUUGCAUACAGAGCUCCAGAUCCCAGUCCUGGUUUUGAUUAUGUCCGUUAUGUAGUUCACAAGCACCCGCAAUCCAUCUCCGCAUGGAACUCCUACUACAAAGUGACAUCAAGAGCAGAAGAGAAAGGUCAUUUUAAGUUUCUUCUUCGGGCAAGAAGGGAUCCCAAGUGUGUGCCCCCUAAAAUCAUAUCUGGGCAUCGAUUUACUGCUAUCAGUCAACACCAGUCCGCUGUUCGGGAUUAUCUGGAAGCGUACAAGCUGGACUCGGAGAAUCCUCUAAUCAAUCUCUGCGUUGGUUCGUCCUUGAUCAACCUCUCCCUGGGCUUCAGGCUUCAGAACAAGAACCAGUGCAUCGUCCAGGCGUUUGCGUUCCUCUACAAGUGCCUGCGCAUCGGCAGCAACAGGCAGGAGGCCCUGUACAACAUAGCCCGGGCUUACCACCAUGUCGGGCUCAAAACCCUGGCGGCCAUCUACUACGAGAAGGUUUUAGCCAUGGAGGUGGAAGAUCACCCCAUACCCAAGCUUCCAUUCGAGGAGGAUUUCCAUGAGCACCAGGCUCUUAGGCCUGGCUACUGCGACCUCCGGAGAGAGGCUGCGUUCAAUCUGCAUCUGAUCUACAAGGAAAGCGGAGCAACUGAUCUGGCAAGAAGGAUCCUCAAGACCUACUGUUCUAUUUAG
rnacentral:rRNA from 1 species